AGUGAACGCUGGCGGUAGGCCUAACACAUGCAAGUCGAACGGCAGCACAGUAAGAGCUUGCUCUUACGGGUGGCGAGUGGCGGACGGGUGAGGAAUACAUCGGAAUCUACUUUUUCGUGGGGGAUAACGUAGGGAAACUUACGCUAAUACCGCAUACGACGUACGGGUGAAAGCAGGGGAUCUUCGGACCUUGCGCGAUUGAAUGAGCCGAUGUCGGAUUAGCUAGUUGGCGGGGUAAAGGCCCACCAAGGCGACGAUCCGUAGCUGGUCUGGGAGGAUGAUCAGCCACACUGGAACUGAGACACGGUCCAGACUCCUACGGGAGGCAGCAGUGGGGAAUAUUGGACAAUGGGCGCAAGCCUGAUCCAGCCAUACCGCGUGGGUGAAGAAGGCCUUCGGGUUGUAAAGCCCUUUUGUUGGGAAAGAAAAGCAGCAGGUUAAUACCCCGCUGUUCUGACGGUACCCAAAGAAUAAGCACCGGCUAUCUUCGUG
rnacentral:rRNA from 1 species